ensembl:lncRNA
GGCCUGAAGAGAUAUAAGGAGGGGGAUAUCCGGAGUCGCCCCACAAUGCUCCCCCCGCGGGCUCCUCCGACCCGGAGCCCUCUUGGGGCGGAUCUGGGGGCGGAGGCGGGCCACGAUAGGCUUGAAGGGAGGGAUAUAGGGGCGGAAACUUCCGCGAGGGUGGGGCUGUCCUAGAGGCGGUGGCGGAAAGCAAGGAAGCAGGGGUUCGGCGAGGCCCUGCCCUACAGGGCUUGGCAGGGGCCCCUGAGCAGCGUCCUUCACUGGAUCCCCCGUUCUCUGGCCGCACGUUGGGCGCCACUUGUCCCGGCCCGCGGAUGAAAAUGGAUUCAUUACCACAUGAAUCAGAGCCCAAAUAGGCCAAGUCCAGGGGGACGUUCUCUUCCUGUUGCAAAGCAUUUUCCACAUUUUGUUUAACCUUUAUGUAAGUCUUAUCUUCUAAUGUUCCUGUAUCAGGAAACCAAGGAUUGUAUUGUUACUACUUUUAAACAAACUUCAAAACAAGCUCAAAACACGUGGGCACCUUGUGUCUUCAACAAAUGAUGAACUAAAGCAGUAAAAAUAGCACCACGUCCCUGUGCUUUCCCCAUAACCCCGUUAUUAGUUUCUCUUACAGUUGAUACCGCCUGAGCCGGUUAUGUUCAGGUCCCUGUUCGGGUGCCACUUGUUGGGGUCUCCUCGGUGGGAGACUCGAACCUGAAGACAAUAUCCGAUGAAACCUAUUAAAUGAAGGAGCAUGGGGGACCAGAACUCUGUGUGGAGUUAAGGCCAGGUUUAUUGGUAAUAUUCUUCUUUUAUACAUUUUUCUGUAGGAUACAUCAAUCAUUAACAAUUUACAAUGCUAGUCAACUAACCACCAGUUAUAUCUGCACUCGGAGUUGCAAUGAAAGAAGUUCAUGCUGAGCAAGCCUACAGAAGGAAUACAUAAAGAAAUAUGGGUGAGGAAGACUUUCAAGGAUUUUCACCCUUGCAGCCACAUGCAGCGUCUUGAGAAAAAGUGCCUAGUUGUGGCCAGUCAACCCCAGUACAAUGAGAGGAUCUUCUCCAUCCACCUAAAUCCUCAGAGCCCUGCAGUGACCUCCCCACUGGGCCAGGUGAUGUGGUGAAAGAGUGCAUGUAGAGAAAGCACCACUGUGAUCUACAGCUUCAGCCCAGAAGCCACAUGCAUCACCGACAUCUACUGGUAAGAAGUCAUCUGGCCAUGCCUGGCUGACAGCAAUAAGUCUGCAAAAUAGAUAACAUGGAUUCUGCUGAACACUGUGAAUACUAUGCAUAUAAAUGGCUUUUUGAGUUGAGUGGAAGCAAACAGACAAAGUCAAGCUCUGGG